rnacentral:rRNA from 1 species
AUUGAACGCUGGCGGCAGGCCUUACACAUGCAAGUCGAGCGGAUGAAGGGAGCUUGCUCCUGGAUUCAGCGGCGGACGGGUGAGUAAUGCCUAGGAAUCUGCCUGGUAGUGGGGGAUAACGUCCGGAAACUGGCGCUAAUACCGCAUACGUCCUGAGUGAGAAAGUGGGGGAUCUUCGGACUUCACGCUAUCAGAUGAGCCUAGGUCGGAUUAGCUAGUUGGUGGGGUAAAGGCCUACCAAGGCGACGAUCCGUAACUGGUCUGAGAGGAUGAUCAGUCACACUGGAACUGAGACACGGUCCAGACUCCUACGGGAGGCAGCAGUGGGGAAUAUUGGACAAUGGGCGAAAGCCUGAUCCAGCCAUGCCGCGUGUGUGAAGAAGGUCUUCGGAUUGUAAAGCACUUUAAGUUGGGAGGAAGGGCAGUAAGUUAAUACCUUGCUGUUUUGACGUUACCAACAGAAUAAGCACCGGCUAACUUCGUG